CAGGCUUAACACAUGCAAGUCGAGGGGCAGCAUUUCAGUUUGCUUGCAAACUGGAGAUGGCGACCGGCGCACGGGUGAGUAACACGUAUCCAACCUGCCGAUAACUCGGGGAUAGCCUUUCGAAAGAAAGAUUAAUACCUGAUGGUAUAAUCAGACCGCAUGGUCUUGUUAUUAAAGAAUUUCGGUUAUCGAUGGGGAUGCGUUCCAUUAGGCAGUUGGUGAGGUAACGGCUCACCAAACCUUCGAUGGAUAGGGGUUCUGAGAGGAAGGUCCCCCACAUUGGAACUGAGACACGGUCCAAACUCCUACGGGAGGCAGCAGUGAGGAAUAUUGGUCAAUGGGCGCAGGCCUGAACCAGCCAAGUAGCGUGAAGGAUGACCGCCCUAUGGGUUGUAAACUUCUUUUAUAUGGGAAUAAAGUUUUCCACGUGUGGAAUUUUGUAUGUACCAUAUGAAUAAGGAUCGGCUAACUCCGUGCCAGCAGCCGCGGUAAUACGGAGGAUCCGAGCGUUAUCCGGAUUUAUUGGGUUUAAAGGGAGCGUAGGUGGACAGUUAAGUCAGUUGUGAAAGUUUGCGGCUCAACCGUAAAAUUGCAGUUGAUACUGGCUGUCUUGAGUACAGUAGAGGUGGGCGGAAUUCGUGGUGUAGCGGUGAAAUGCUUAGAUAUCACGAAGAACUCCGAUUGCGAAGGCAGCUCACUGGACUGCAACUGACACUGAUGCUCGAAAGUGUGGGUAUCAAACAGGAUUAGAUACCCUGGUAGUCCACACAGUAAACGAUGAAUACUCGCUGUUUGCGAUAUACAGUAAGCGGCCAAGCGAAAGCAUUAAGUAUUCCACCUGGGGAGUACGCCGGCAACGGUGAAACUCAAAGGAAUUGACGGGGGCCCGCACAAGCGGAGGAACAUGUGGUUUAAUUCGAUGAUACGCGAGGAACCUUACCCGGGCUUAAAUUGCAUUUGAAUAUAUUGGAAACAGUAUAGCCGUAAGGCAAAUGUGAAGGUGCUGCAUGGUUGUCGUCAGCUCGUGCCGUGAGGUGUCGGCUUAAGUGCCAUAACGAGCGCAACCCUUAUCUUUAGUUACUAACAGGUCAUGCUGAGGACUCUAGAGAGACUGCCGUCGUAAGAUGUGAGGAAGGUGGGGAUGACGUCAAAUCAGCACGGCCCUUACGUCCGGGGCUACACACGUGUUACAAUGGGGGGUACAGAAGGCAGCUACCUGGUGACAGGAUGCUAAUCCCAAAAGCCUCUCUCAGUUCGGAUCGAAGUCUGCAACCCGACUUCGUGAAGCUGGAUUCGCUAGUAAUCGCGCAUCAGCCAUGGCGCGGUGAAUACGUUCCCGGGCCUUGUACACACCGCCCGUCAAGCCAUGAAAGCCGGGGGUACCUGAAGUACGUAACCGCAAGGAGCGUCCUAGGGUAAAACUGGUAAUUG
rnacentral:rRNA from 1 species